rnacentral:rRNA from 1 species
CCUACGGGAGGCAGCAGUGAGGAAUAUUGGUCAAUGGGCGCGAGCCUGAACCAGCCAAGUCGCGUGAAGGAUGACUGCCCUACGGGUUGUAAACUUCUUUUGUACAGGAAUAAAGUGAGGCACGCGUGCCUUUUUGUAUGUACUUUAUGAAUAAGGAUCGGCUAACUCCGUGCCAGCAGCCGCGGUAAUACGGAGGAUCCGAGCGUUAUCCGGAUUUAUUGGGUUUAAAGGGAGCGUAGAUGGGUUGUUAAGUCAGUUGUGAAAGUUCGCGGCUCAACCGCAAAAUUGCAAUUGAUACUGGCAGGCUUGAGUACAGUUGAGGUAGGCGGAAUUCGUGGUGUAGCGGUGAAAUGCUUAGAUAUCACGAAGAACUCCGAUUGCGAAGGCAGCUUACUAAGCUGCCACUGACAUUGAUGCUCGAAAGCGUGGGUAUCAAACAGGAUUAGAUACCCCUGUAGUC